UUAAUAUCUGGGGUGCAGGGCGGGUUCGGCGGCUCCUAUAAAGCCAGCCUUGCCAGCCCCAAGCGGCUCCUUCAGCCCCUGAGACCUUUAGCCCCCCUGUUGUGAGAGAAAAAGAAAAGUCUGGUUCCCCCUGAGGCCUCUCCUUGGUGUACAGUUGGGCAUCUUCUGUGUCCUCACAUGGUCGUCUCUCUGUGCGGGCGUCCCUGUGGCCCUCUGCGAGUCCAGAUCUCCUCUUCUGCGGACACCACGUUGGGUCAAGUCGGAUCAGGGCCCACCCUCACAGCCCCAUCUUAAUCACCUCCAAUGUGGUCACAUUCCGAGGUCCUGAGGGUCGGGGCUUCAACAUACGCGUGGGAGGACGCUGUUUGGCUCAGCAUCAUCUUCUGUUUUUUGUGUUUUGGCCUCCUUCGAUGGGGACCUAAGGCCCCGUGAGGCCUUUGUUGAUGUAAGUGCCAGAGUGGCCCCGGCAGCAGGCGGGGUCCUCCCAGCCCCCCUGCCCUCUGUCUGCCCUCGGCUUAGUGCCCGUUCCUUUGUGUCUUGCUUUGUGCCGGGUCUUAAAGCCACAGGAGCAAAGCAGGGCA